rnacentral:snRNA from 1 species
AUGCUCACUCAGCAGCACAUGUACAAUACAGAGAAGAUUAGCAUGGCCCCUGUGCAAGGAUGACACACAGAUUUGAGGAGCAUUCCAUAUUUUC